rnacentral:rRNA from 1 species
UAGGGAAUCUUCCGCAAUGGGCGAAAGCCUGACGGAGCAACGCCGCGUGAGUGAUGAAGGUCUUCGGAUCGUAAAACUCUGUUAUUAGGGAAGAACAAAUGUGUAAGUAACUAUGCACGUCUUGACGGUACCUAAUCAGAAAGCCACGGCUAACUACGUGCCAGCAGCCGCGGUAAUACGUAGGUGGCAAGCGUUAUCCGGAAUUAUUGGGCGUAAAGCGCGCGUAGGCGGUUUUUUAAGUCUGAUGUGAAAGCCCACGGCUCAACCGUGGAGGGUCAUUGGAAACUGGAAAACUUGAAUGCAGAAGAGGAAAGUGGAAUUCCAUGUGUAGCGGUGAAAUGCGCAGGGAUAUGGAGGAACACCAGUGGCGAAGGCGACUUUCUGGUCUGUAACUGACGCUGGUGUGCGAAAGCGUGGGGAUCAAACAGG